rnacentral:rRNA from 1 species
CCUACGGGAGGCAGCAGUGGGGAAUAUUGCACAAUGGGCGAAAGCCUGAUGCAGCAACGCCGCGUGAGCGAUGAAGGCCUUCGGGUCGUAAAGCUCUGUCCUUAAGGAAGAUAAUGACGGUACUUGAGGAGGAAGCCCCGGCUAACUACGUGCCAGCAGCCGCGGUAAUACGGAGGGGGCUAGCGUUAUCCGGAUUUACUGGGCGUAAGGGGGGCGUAGGUGGUUUCUUAAGUCAGAGGUGAAAGGCUACGGCUCAACCGUAGUUAGCAAUUGACACUGGGGAACUUGAGUACAGUAGAGGAGAGUGGAAUUCCUAGUGUAGCGGUGAAAUGCGUAGAUAUUAGGAAGAACACCAGUUGCGAAGGCGGCUCUCUAAACUGUAACUGACACUGAGGCACGAAAGCGUGGGGAGCAAACAGGAUUAGAUACCCCUGUAGUC